rnacentral:tRNA from 1 species
CGGGACGUAGCGCAGUUUGGUUAGCGCGUCAGUCUGGGGGACUGAAGGUCGGCAGUUCGAAUCUGCCCGUCCCGA